GAGGCGGGUGCGGCGGCCGGGCGGCUGGGGCUGGAGCGGGACCAGUCCCCGCGGCGAGCGAGCCCCUGGAGGUGCAGUGCAGGCAUAUGCUGUAACCAUGACCACUGAAGUAGGCUCCACAUCUGAGGUGAAGAAGGAAUCUGAGCCAUUAGGAGCAGAUGCCACCAAGGAGAAACCUAAAGAAGUAGCAGAAAAUCAGCAGAAUCAGUCCUCCGAUCCGGAGGAGGAAAAACGUUCCCAGUCUUCUCCUACAGCUGAAAGCCAAAGUAGUUCACGCCGCCAGAAGAAAGAGAGGGAUCCAUCUGAGAGCCGGGGCAUUUCUCGAUUCAUACCCCCGUGGCUUAAGAAACAGAAGUCCUAUACCUUAGUAGCGGCUAAAGACGGAGGAGAUAAAAAAGAGCCUGCCCAGGCUGCCGUGGAGGAGGUUUUAGACCAAGAGGAAUCCCUUCCUGAAGGAGAAAGGCAGGCCAAGGGCGAUGUUGAAGAAACCUCUCAGAGAAAGCAGCAGGAGGUGAAAGUUGAUGUCAAGGAAGAGAAGCCCUCUGUGAGCCGUGCUGAGGCACAGCCUGCUGGAGAGGUAAGGAAGGAGAGAGAAGAGAAGGUGAAGGAAAUGCAGGAAGACAAGUCAGAAGCAGCAGCAAAGAGGGAGACCAAGGAAGUGCAGACCAAUGAGCUAAAAGCAGAGAAGUCCUCCCAGAAAACCAGCAAGAGGACCAAAACGGUCCAGUGCAAAGUGAUCCUCCUGGACGGCACCGAGUACAGCUGUGACCUGGAGAAACGUGCUAAGGGACAAGUGUUAUUUGACAAAGUGUGUGAACAUCUCAAUCUUCUGGAGAAGGACUACUUUGGACUUCUAUUUCAGGAAAGCCCUGAGCAAAAAAACUGGCUAGAUCCUGCAAAAGAAAUAAAGAGACAACUGCGAAAUCUUCCUUGGCUGUUCACCUUUAAUGUGAAGUUUUAUCCUCCUGAUCCUUCUCAGUUGACUGAAGAUCUCACCAGAUACUUCUUGUGCCUUCAGCUUCGGCAGGACAUUGCCUCCGGCCGCCUGCCUUGCUCGUUCGUGACGCACGCCCUCCUGGGAUCUUACACAUUGCAGGCUGAACUUGGGGACUAUGAUCCGGAAGAACAUGGCAGUAGUGAUCUCAGUGACUUCCAGUUUGCUCCCACACAGACGAAGGAGCUGGAAGAGAAGGUGGCAGAGCUGCAUAAAACCCACAGGGGCUUAUCUCCAGCGCAAGCUGAUUCUCAGUUCUUAGAAAAUGCAAAGAGGCUCUCCAUGUAUGGUGUUGACCUACAUAAUGCCAAGGACUCGGAAGGCGUGGACAUCAAGCUGGGUGUGUGCGCUAACGGGCUCCUCAUUUACAAAGACAGACUGAGAAUCAAUCGUUUUGCUUGGCCGAAAAUCUUGAAAAUUUCCUAUAAGCGCAGUAACUUCUACAUUAAAGUUAGGCCGGCAGAGCUCGAACAAUUUGAGAGCACCAUUGGAUUCAAACUGCCAAACCAUCGGGCAGCAAAAAGACUAUGGAAAGUGUGCGUGGAACAUCAUACCUUUUACAGGCUUGUGUCUCCAGAGCAGCCACCAAAGGCCAAGUUCCUGACCUUGGGGUCCAAAUUCCGCUACAGCGGCCGUACCCAAGCCCAGACCCGUCAGGCAAGCACCCUCAUUGAUAGGCCAGCGCCACACUUUGAGCGUACCUCUAGCAAACGUGUCUCCAGGAGUCUAGAUGGAGCUCCAGUUGGUGUUGUGGAUCAAAGUCUUAUGAAGGAUUUUCCUGGACCUGCUGGGGAGGUUUCAGCAUACGGCCCGAGAGUUGUCAGCACUGCUGUGGUUCAAGAUGGGGAUGGCAGGAGGGACCUCAGAAGCCCGACUAAAGUCCCACAUGUGCAAUUCAUUGAAGGAAAGCCUGUUCCCAUGUGCCCACCUUCACCUCUCAUUCGCUGUGUUUCAUCUCUUUCCCCAAACCUUUUACCGGUCCCUGAGAUGGACUUGCUUUCAGACAUUUCGGAGGAAGACCCCUUUGGGGAGGCUGACCGGAUCACACUAGACAGCUUAGAGCUCCCUUCCAGCGGUGAGCUGUCUGAGCUGGGGGACUGCGAAGUCCCUGCCCUUGAUUCUGUCUCGGGUCCAAUUGCAGCCUCUCCUCAGCCUGACUGUCCUCCCACCCAUGAGAAGCCUCUAAAAGAGGCUGACUGCAAGGAUUCUGAAUUUGGGUACUUUUCCUUCCAUUUCUGUAAAUGCUUCCCACCUAGCUUCCCCUCCCUUCUCGAUGACGAUGGGUAUCUUGCUUUCCCCAGCCUCCCCAAGGUCUGGGUCUCCUUCCUCCCCGACGAUGUCCAGCACUACCUUCCUAUUACCUCCCCUUCCUUUCUUCCUUCCCUCAUCCUCAUCUUUGGACUCCUUCUCUCUGCUUCUCAGUCAGUGCCUUUUUCUCUCACCUUUUCCCUUCCUCUGGCUCUAUCCCUCUGCUAUCUGGAGGCUAAAGCCACUUCCUUCAAUGUUUCUCGUGACUGUGACUUGAAUGACAAAACAGAGGAGGAGGAAGCAAUUGCUGGGACUCCUACCUAAGCUUUAAUUUGUGGGGUCAACAAAACUCCAGCUUCCUAAUAUAGAGUGUAAACAUGUGCAUAAAUUUCACCACUGAUUACCCUCAAAAUAAUAUGGUCUGCACAUUUUCACAUACAUGGUGUUUUAGUGCAUGAGAAAUACAUGUAAAUAAGUACUUCCCCUUCAUUGAUUUCCAUGGACCAGGUCCACACAUUCGAAGUUGAGAACCAAGUUAUGGAUUAUUUUGUAAAUAUCUAGACUGUACUAGGUCUUCAGAACAAAACAAAACAAUAACAGGAAACCUCUGUUGCCCUUAACAAUCCAUAUUGGCUCUGUCUGUUUUCCAGACAAAUAGCAAGUCUGUCAAUGCUGUUCCUGUAGGGUGGACACUUGUUUCAAUAUAGAACUUAGAUUCUGUGGACAUAACCGUGAUUGAUGUGUAUUAGUAGAACUCCUUAGUGCCGUUAUUUCUCGUUAGAAAGCCAAGCUCCUUCUUGCAUUUAUGAGGAUGCAUCUGUAACCUUUACUCCUGACAUUUAUGGGUUUAAUUUCAGAAAUUCCUUGUCUCCCUGUUACUGUUAGCAUUGGGGAACCAGAUGAAUUUCAGGUAGUUGUUUUUUUUUUUUUUCCUUUUUUGUUUUUAACUCUAAAUAAUGUAGUUUUAUGAAAGAGUCACUGUCAGGUGUUUGUAAGGAAGAUACUACUCUUUAAGGAAUACAUGUGAAAAAUGAAACACAGCUUUUUGAAAAUUUAGACUAUUUGCCCUAUGGUUGGGCCGCAUAGUGUCCCUUUAUUUAAGAUUAGGUGUCCGGUUUGAGGAUUUUUGCCCCUAGAUAGGGCUACCUCUGCACUACAGGUUGGUGCUAAUGUGUGCAGGAUGUUUUUGUUUUGCUAGUGUGGUCUGGUGACUUCGUGUCUCAUAGCCUGUGGGUAUUAGCCAUACAUAGAGAAAAAUCACCAUUUAGAACAAACCUAAAGAAAAAUGUAAAGACAAUGCCAUGAUUAAGCAUACUGGGAGAAACCACUAUUCCCAAAUGUUACCUGAAGAAUGCCAAAGAUUGGCAUUUUAGAGAAUUAAGUAUUGACCAAGGAAUUGGAACAUGAUCUUAAUAGGUUGUUGGAUAACUCUUACUUUUCCUUCUGAUAAGAAGAUACUCUGAGCUCCUGAUCACCUCAGAAAUACUUGAUUUAAAGGGAGAGAAAAAAAAAAUCAUUUUGAACUCUCACAUUUUGAACUCUCAUUCCAGUAAAGAAGAAAAGGAAUGUGCAUGAUCCUGCUAUAAAUUAACAUGUGAAGUUUACCCUAUUGUCUUUUGGUCUCAGAAUCAUUAUUUUUCCUUUUUGUUAUUCCUCUUCUUGAGUCAGUAGUUAUCAGGAUUUAUGCUUUUUUAAGAAUAAAUAUAUUGAAGUAUAAUUGCCAAUACAGUGUUACAUUAGUUUCAGGUAUAACAUAAUGAUUCGGCAAUUCUAUAGUCUGUCACCAUAUGAUGUUAUUAGAAUAUUAUUGACUAUAUUCCCUAUGCUGUGCUUUUCAUGUCCAUGACUUAGUUUUAAAUUUGCAGGUUUUUGUUUUUUUUUUCUUUUGGGUCAUUAGAUACUAAGAAUUAUCCAACCAUGAAAAAUUAUUCUUAUUUAAAGAAUUUUAUGAAGAAAAAGUGGCUAUAAAAUAGGAGUACUUUUAAAUACGAUUUUAGCAUGCAAGUAGCAAAAUAAACCAAUUUCCCUCCCAAAGAAAGAAAUUUAUGUUAAAAACUGAAUUAGAGGGUGAAUAUUUGUCCCUGAGGUAAAAUUUGGUUUUCACUUUCCAUCAUUCUACUUUGCCCUCAUCCCUAGUUGAUUUAGACUUUUCACAUUAGGACAGAUGGAAUUAUGCCAUUUUUACACUCUCUGAUUUUCAUUUAUGAGUAAAAACAUUAAAAAAACACCACAUAAUCUAGGGACUGAGAAAGAGUGAAGCUUCCAUUCUCCAUUUCACCUUUGCAAAGGAUUCCUUCCACCAUUUGUUCGACACUGUAGGUGAAGAAAGACCACAGUGGCUUUAUGUUCUGCAUCUUCUGAGGGCCAAACAGUAAAGUCCUGCAGGUAGAUCUCUUCUCUCCUAAUGGGUCAUCUCCGUGGUGCAGAAUCUGAAGUAACCUCCCAUCCUUAAUAUAUAUUCACCAG